AUAUCUCUCUGUACGGGAAGGAUGAGAAGCUUCGACUAAGGUUCGAUUCGAGCGUCAGCGAGAAAGCGUUGCCGCAGGCAACGACCCGAAGGGCGAAGC
rnacentral:sRNA from 3 species